rnacentral:rRNA from 1 species
CCUACGGGAGGCAGCAGUGGGGAAUUUUGGACAAUGGGCGCAAGCCUGAUCCAGCAAUGCCGCGUGAGUGAAGAAGGCCUUCGGGUUGUAAAGCUCUUUUGUCAGGGAAGAAACGGUGGAGGUUAAUACCUUCUGCUAAUGACGGUACCUGAAGAAUAAGCACCGGCUAACUACGUGCCAGCAGCCGCGGUAAUACGUAGGGUGCAAGCGUUAAUCGGAAUUACUGGGCGUAAAGCGUGCGCAGGCGGUUGUGCAAGGACAGAUGUGAAAUCCCCGGGCUCAACCUGGGAAUUGCAUUUGUGACUGUACGGCUAGAGUGUGUCAGAGGGGGGUAGAAUUCCACGUGUAGCAGUGAAAUGCGUAGAGAUGUGGAGGAAUACCGAUGGCGAAGGCAGCCCCCUGGGAUAACACUGACGCUCAUGCACGAAAGCGUGGGGAGCAAACAGGAUUAGAUACCCUGGUAGUCCACGCCCUAAACGAUGUCUACUAGUUGUCGGGUCUUUAUUGACUUGGUAACGCAGCUAACGCGUGAAGUAGACCGCCUGGGGAUACGGUCGCAAGNUUAAAACUUAAUGAAUUGACCGGNUGAGAGAGCGAGCGACGACGAGGGAGGAGG